UUCCCAUGUGUAGGUAGAUAGCAAGUUAAAGCAAAGAAAGAAGAAAAAAACUCAUUCAUUAUAGGGCUCCUUUUUAUAAAGUUGAAGGAUUAUAGUAAGAAAGAUAAUAGAAGAAGAGAUGUCUUUUGAUAUAGAAAACCACUGUCACUCUACAAAUGGAGGAACUGGAGAAGACGAUACUAGAAAAUUUAUUAAACACAAAAUAAAAUUAAAGUAAUAAGGACAAACUAUACUACCACUACCCCAAAAAGCAAAUUUUAAAUAACUUUCAAUGUUUUGUAUCUUUUUGCUUAACUUCUUUAUGUCCAAUAAAGAACUGUGCUUUCUUUAUUCUGGCUAUUACUAAUCACUCGUUUCCAAUGAUAACUAAUCAGAGAAAAACAAGAGUGCAUGUGUAUCCAGAAUACAGAGUAUGAACAUGAAAGACAAUGGCUUAUGGCAAUCUGCUUUAAGACAUGAUCUUCACAAGAAAAGUAUGCCAAGGCAGGUAUCACCUAACAUUCCUUUGCCUUGACAAAGUCCCAAACUGAACUCCUGCUUUACCUCUAUCUUCUUUCCCAUCUUAAUUGAUGGUAACUUCAUCAUUUUAGUCACUCAGAAGAAAUAAUCUUGGUAUCAUCUUUGACGCCUCUUUCUUGAAUAUCUCAGACAGAAUGUGCCCAAUUCUUACCACCUCCAUUUCUACUAUUCUGGACUUCAACAUCAUCAGAUUUUUCCAGGAUUGCCAGAUAAUGUCCUAAUUGUCUCCUUGCUUCUAUGAUUAGCUGUUACAGUCUAUUUCCAAGAUUAGACAUAAAACUUCUAAAAUUAAAUGAUAAAGCCAUCCCUCUGAUCAAAAAUUUUGAAUGGCUCCUUAUUACAUUCAGAUUAAAAACCAAAAGUCUUUACAAUGGCCUGCAAAGCUUAUACCACCUGCUAAAAGUAAAGACACUUUUUUCUAAACUCACACCACUUCUGAGCCCAGAUGUGUGGGUUUUUACACAAUAAGCAAUUCUCUAAUUCUCAAAAGACACUACAAUUUAACUCGAUUUGACACUACUGGAGUUAGUGUCAGAUUCCACAAGCCAACGGCUCAGUCCCACUAGACUGACUUCCCAUUUCAGACACCAACCACCAGUCCCAAGUAAUCAUUUGUAUUUCUGAUCAACCACCAGUAAGUUAGGGGUUCCCUCCAACCUCUGCCCAGGAUUUAAUUAAUUUGCUGGCAAGGCUCUGGAAAACAGCUUACUUGAGUGGAUUUCAAGUUCAUUAUAAAAGGAUACAACUCACGAACAGUCUGAUAGAAGAGCUGCACAGGGCAAAGAAUGUGGGACGGGGCAGGGAGCUUCCACACCCUCUCAAGAGCACCAUCCUCCCAACACCUCUACAUGUUCACCAACCCAAAAGGUCUCCAAACCACUUCAGUUAGGAUUUUUUAAUGGAGGCUUCAUUGUGUAGGCAUGCUUGAUUAAAUAUUUGGCCACUGGUGAUUGGCUCAACCUCCACCUCUCCCCUCUCUGGAAGUGUGUGUAUGUGUAUGGUGAGGAGAGGGGGUGGAGGGCUGAAAAUGUCAGUCCUCUAAUCACAUGGUUGGUUUCGUGGCAAUCAGUUCUCACCGUGCGGCUAGCACCCAGUCACCAACACACGUUUAUCUCAACCAUAGCCAUCUCAACACACAUUUAUCACCUUGUAGAUUCCAAGAAUUUUUGGAGCUGUGUGCCAGGAAACAGGCAGAGACCAAAUAUACAUUUCUUAUUAUGUAACACCGGCCCAUCUUCUCCCUAACUACUUUCCCUUUACGUUCUCCGUUUUCAACUUUAUGGGCCUCCUCGUUACUCCUGAACAAAACACGCAAACUCCUGCUCUAAAGCCUUGACACUCUAUUCCUCUGCCUGGAAUACACUUCCUCUUGAUACCCACGUGACUUCUUCCUGGCUCACUUCAUGAUUGCUGUGCUCAAAAAUCACCUUCUAAUUGAGGCUUAUACUCAAAGUUGCAACCCACUCCAUAUUCCCAACUCCCCCUGUCCUGCUCUACUUUCUCUCUUCCCCUUGGCUUUCUUCACCAACUGAGAUAGCAUACAAUUGACUUAUUGUUUUUACCACUGUUUAUCAUUGUUUCUCCUCCCAAUCCUCUAAGAAUAUAAACUCAAUUCCAAGCAACUAGAACAAUACAAAGUACAUGGUAGGCAGUCAUUAAAUACUUACUGAAUGAAACUCAGGAAACAAAAUGAAACCUCUAUUAACAAACCCUAUGAAAUCAACAAGGAGACCUAGGCAUUAAAGGUAUAGGACAAUUUCCCACCACUUAGCAGCUAGGUUAGUGUCAGUAGUAUACAGACAAGGAGGUAAGACUAUUUCAGGCCUAUACAGCAGUACCUUUUAAGAGGAAACAUCUUCUAGGGUUCAAACAGACUGCAUCUAAAAACAGGGAGGGCCAAGAUUUUACUGUGCAGGGUGAGAAGUUUAGAAGAAGAUAAAGCACAAAGUACCUGGUUAACAAAGAAUGCCCUGAUGGGUUCUUGCCAAGGAUGGAAUUCAUGUUCUGAUACUGACCUCAUGAUUUCCAAUUAUUCUACCUCUGAAAAACUUCCACGAACACAGCAUAUUACUCAACUACUCAAUCAUUAAAAGCAAAUGAAUUCCAUUAUCUAUAAUUAUAAUCUAUAUUAAAAAGUUCAUAGAAUUAUUGUAAGAAUCACAAACCAUGUCUAAACUAAUAAAUGCCCAAAAUAUGGCAGGCACUCAGUAAAAAUGCAAGCUAAUUAUAAUAACAGCAAAAACAUAAUCUUUGAUAUAAAAUGAUUUUUAACAAUAUAAAAAACACAUUUGAAGAAAAAGUAAAAGCUGUAUUGAUAGUUUACACCCCAUUUUGUUAUUCCUCCACUUCUUUAAACUGACGUAUCAAUCUUGACUAAAGACUUAAUCCAGAUUAGUGGCACCGGAUAAACUGUACAAUGAAUUAUUAACUUCCAAAUUUAAAAAUCUAUUAAUAAGUCAUUCUUAGAAAAUAAGCACUUUUAUAGAGCUAUCCUACUUUAAGAAAACUUAAAAUAUGAAAACUUCUAAUUACAAAAAAAAGUUUGGGAAUGCUUCACAAGUGGAUUCACCACAGUAUUAUUUUAAACAUUCAUUUACUAACUGAGCUAGAGAAAGAGAAAUGAGUUACAAUGUUGGAAGGCAAUGCAUCAGAAAUAAAGUGAAAGCAAUUCUGAAAUAAUGUAACAGAGAUUUAAUUUAGAAGAAUUCAAUCUAUGUACAACUCAGAAAAAUUCAAAACUUCCUUAAUGACAAUUUUAAUUCAUAAAUAACAUGACAACCAUGCAGCCAUAAACAAUAACUAGCAACUUUUCUGAGGUAACUCAAGUAAAAUAAAAGUUCUUCAACCAUAUGCAAUGGCUUGUAGCACGUUGGGGUAUGUCACUGAACACCUUUGAUGGCAGCCUAUGGACCCCUUAGGAUAAUGUUUGUAAAAACAUAAAAUAUAAUUCAUGGGAUUACAACUAAAAAAGGAUGAAAAAAAUGUGUAAGAUUCCCACGAAAACCAGUUACAUUAAAAUUCAGUUCUAAUCAUAGACCACAAUUUUAAUCAUGAGUCCUCAGUUAAUAAAAGAACUGCUGAUAGAGGAUAUGGAUUAACUUGGAAAAGCAAAGAAGAAAUACUUUUGCCUAAAUAUUCUAUACAUGUAGUAUUCCUAGUAUUUAAAAAAAUAACUUGCCAAGAUUAGGAUAUUAUAUAAUUAUUUAAAAUUUAAAUAACUUUUGAAAGUUUUUAUCUCUAGUAGAACAUUUCUUGUUCCUACUGUGUGCAUAUACUAUAAUGCAAAAUAACAGUUCCAGCAGGAAAAUAACUUGUGAUUUGACUACUGAAUGUGUACAUUACCUUAAAACAGAAUUUUCAUUUUUGAAAUCUUUGUCUGGCUAAAAAAAACUUCUAAAUCAUUAUUCCCAAAAUAUCCUGGUACUGCAUAGUUUAAAAUAAACAUUUGACACUAAAGAAUGGAAAAGAUCUUGAAUCACAGUCUUUACUAAAAUCGUAAGCUUUUUGAUUUUUUUUUUAAUUUAUUUUUAUUAUUAUUAUUAUUUUUUUCCAGUGGGUUUUGUCAUACAUUGAUAUGAAUCAGCCAUGGAUUUACAUGGAUUCCCAAUCCCGAUCCCCCCUCCCACCUCCCUCUCCACCCGAUUCCUCUGGGUCUUCCCAGUGCACCAGGCUGGAGCACUAGCUUUUUGAUUUUUUAAGAAAAAGAAUAAACUAGGUGAAAAAUGGUGCCCGUACACCAUUAAAAUAGCUGUCUUUGAAAAAAACCACUUUUUUGUAUCUUCUAAAGAAAAUAUUAAUAAAUGACUAUUAAUGUCAAGUUACAAGAACUAUACAAAUCUACCUACAUUUAUAAAAACAUUGUUUUAGUUAAUAGUGAAAAUGAAAGAUCUGUUCUUGGUUGCUUAUUUUUCACACUGUAGGAAAAAACACACAUAACUAGUGAGUUGAGUAGAAUAAAUCACUUUCAUGUUUUAUCACUAGUAAUUGUGAACCUAAACAAACUGUACAGUGAGUUCAUUUUAAAAACUAAUAAAAUUUAAAAUAAAAACAAAAACCUUUUUUUUCAGAGCAUAACUAACUCCUUCCUACAGUGUGCUUGUCUAUUUGAAAUUAUGACAACGGCAGAUAAAUCAUACAUUAUUUUGCAAUGUUUCUUUUGUUUUUAUUUCUCUUUGCCUCGAUCAUCAUCAUGGAACCAAAAAGAACAGAACAUUACACUAACAAGAAGUAUUUAAUAUUAACUUAGCCAAAAGUUCAUUUCAAUCUGAAUUUUGUUAGGAAUUUUUCCGUCUUUUAAAUGCUGAGAAUUACGAACGCUUUUCUUUAAAGAACAUUACUAAAAGUGAAUCACAGACCCUAAUCACAAAGAACCUCCUAAAUUUAAACAUCCCUCAGAAAUAGCCUUGAAAACUCACUGGAAAAAAAUACAUAUUUUCUUCCAGAUAAGGAAACAUUUGGCAAACUCUUAUCUAACAACGCCUUGCAGUACAUUUGCAAGCAAUAAUGAGGCUUCGCACUGAUGGAGAAAACCUUGGAGGGGAGUAACAAAACCUCAGAGCACGCUCAGACUGCAGGCUUUAGAAACCCUCUCUGCUACACCUGUGCAAGUACUUCCUGUUCUCCAAAGAUAUUUAAAAGUUGGUAAACGUCCCGUUGGUGAAAGAAAUGGCAACCCACUCCAGUAUUCUUGCCUGGAAAAUCUCAUGGACAGAGGAGCCUGGUGGACUACAGUCCACGGGGUCGCAAAGAGUCGGACACGACUGGGCACACACCAGACCAGAAAUGUCCCCUAACUCGCCAUUUAGAAGCUAAACAUUAACUUCAUAAAUUACUACUACUAAAUCACUAAAUUAUUACUACUACCACUCAGAAAUCAACAGUCCGAAGAGUCUCAUGAAUCAUCUCUUCUCCAAACAGAGCAACAAAACCCCUUUAAAAAGCUGCUGCUCGAGAGGCAGUGGCUUGGAAAGAGAGGGGAAGGCGCCAAGUAAGCAUAAUAUUCAUAAUUCCAAAGCACUAAGCGACCCAGCAGGAUCCCAGGUUCCGCCUCUGGCCAACCUUCAAACACAGCAGCAACGAACAACCACAGCCCAGGCAAUCUCCCGCUGGCCCAGCUCCGCGUCAAGCUGACACCCGGCUGACACACCAACCGCUGCCACCGAAACCGAGGCUCACCGGGAACUGGAGCAGAGGCGACCGGUCUCCGCCGCCCAGAGCCCGACCCAGCGCACGGAGCAUGCGCACACGCCUCAACACCCCAAGGCCAGUCAGGCCAUUGACACCUGCGAUCAACAGGUCCUGGGAGCCCCGCCCAAAUCCCCGCCUCACCCCCGCCCCGCCUCCUCGAAGCUGACCCCGCCUCCAGGCUCCAGGAGCUGGCUCCGCCCCCACAUGCGAUUUCCCGGCUUCCCGGACCUGCGGAUCUGUGUUCCCGCGCGGGUUCGAUGGGGCUGGCGAUCCAGCUGACUUACUCUGAGCCGCGAGAUCCCGCGAGAGCAGGGACUUGACCAUUUUUCUUAAGGCGGGAGCGGAGCGCUGGGGUUAACUGUUGUUCGAGAAAGGAGGCAGCAGUUACUGAGAGAACAGAGUGAAGAUACCUGGAAGGAAGUUGUCAUCACUCAGGGUGUCUUCUGGAAGUCUGCUGGUCUGAGGGACCUGUGAAGAAAGCUGAGCGCUGAAAAAUUGAUGCUUUUGAACUGUGGUGUUGGAGAAGACUCUUGAGAGUCCCUUGGACUGCAAGGAGAUCCAACCAGUCCAUCCUAAAGGAGGUUUGAAAUUACUACAAAAGUAUCAUGUGAUGAAUGGGAAAUUCCCAGUGUAUCUGUGGAAGAAAACUGGUCCUACUGGAUACUGAACAUCAGAGAUAACUGAGUUUUCCCCAGCAAAGGGGAUGGCCAUGCCAGCAGCUCUGCAGCUGCUCCUGCCAGUCACUCCAUUUCGCCAUCAUUCCUUUGGCCCCAUGAGAGCUGAAGUCACUGCUACCAGGAGCUGUCAGUCAGUCCACAAGUGUGUUUACAGAUGGCACGGUAGGAGUCCAAGAUGACUGAAAUUUUGCCUUGAGACUUGAGGAAUGCCCAUAAAGAAGAGCAGAGCAAGGAACACAGAAUUCCUUCCAGAUGGGCUUCGGCAGACAAACAUUGGGCUCUGUUACGCACUGAUAUUUGGAAAGAGAAAGUAAACAUCGACUGCAACUUGUCUAUUAACAUCCUGUGAAAACUACCAAAAGGGAGAGUCAAGCUUCCUGGGGAUAUGGCACAGAUGUAUAAAAUUUUUCCAAAGGAGCCUCAUAUUUUAAGGGAUCAGCUACCUGUGCAUCUUGGGGCAGACAGCCAAUCUACUUUUUUCUCCAAAACUGAAGGAGUUCUUGAGGGAAGGAAACAGCUCUGCACAUCCUGUAAAGGCAGAAGAGAAAAAGAGCUGCCCCUCCUCUAUACUCCUUCAGAAACUCUUCAUCAGCCAUGGAGCGAGAUUAAACACAAUUUCUGUUUAAUCAUAUGUGACAGGUGGCAGGAUUCCACCACCACAUUUUGAAAGGAUUUUCCAAGGAAGCCUGGGUGCAAAAAAUUUCAAGGAAACUCCUUUCUUCACAGUGAACAUAAAUUAAAAAAAGAAAGAAAGAAAGAAAGCCAAAGGGAAAGAAGAAUAACUACAAAGGCCUAUGGUCCAUAUAUUUCAUGAGGAUCUAGAUCCAUUUUUAAUAGUAAGAAAGACCAUGUAAUCAGAAACCAUUGGCGCCGGAAGAGACCCUCCGAAGGUCAUGAGGACCAGACUCUCAUGCCAAGUUUGCUUCUCUUUGGAAAGCCACUGUGCAAACCUACUGUGUGUGUAACAUCCAUCUGGGUCCUACCACAUCAACCCUGUGGAGUCUGAGGCAAGAUUAACUGGUGUCAACAGGCUGAUGUCCGAGCUGCUUGCUGCGCCCUCAUAGUCAAACUCUUUGUCUCCACCCAAGAGUCUCACGUCUGCUUUCAGCAUCCAUGAAGCAGUAACAGGGUAAGUUAGUAACUUGCAAGGAGGGUCAAAUUAAAUCCCAGGCCAGUGGGGUAAAACUGAGAUACUAGUAGAGGAAU